GAAUAUGGGGGGACCAUCCUCCAAGGCUAAAUACUCCUGACUGACCGAUAGUGAACCAGUACCGUGAGGGAAAGGCGAAAAGAACCCCGGCGAGGGGAGUGAAAAAGAACCUGAAACCGUGUACGUACAAGCAGUGGGAGCACCUUCGGGUGUGACUGCGUACCUUUUGUAUAAUGGGUCAGCGACUUAUAUUCUGUAGCAAGGUUAACCGUAUAGGGGAGCCGCAGGGAAACCGAGUCUUAACUGGGCGUUAAGUUGCAGGGUAUAGACCCGAAACCCGGUGAUCUAGCCAUGGGCAGGUUGAAGGUUGGGUAACACUAACUGGAGGACCGAACCGACUAAUGUUGAAAAAUUAGCGGAUGACUUGUGGCUGGGGGUGAAAGGCCAAUCAAACCGGGAGAUAGCUGGUUCUCCCCGAAAGCUAUUUAGGUAGCGCCUCGUGAACUCAUCUUCGGGGGUAGAGCACUGUUUCGGCUAGGGGGUCAUCCCGACUUACCAACCCGAUGCAAACUACGAAUACCGAAGAAUGUUAUCACGGGAGACACACGGCGGGUGCUAACGUCCGUCGUGAAGAGGGAAACAACCCAGACCGCCAGCUAAGGUCCCAAAGUCAUGGUUAAGUGGGAAACGAUGUGGGAAGGCACAGACAGCCAGGAUGUUGGCUUAGAAGCAGCCAUCAUUUAAAGAAAGCGUAAUAGCUCACUGGUCGAGUCGGCCUGCGCGGAAGAUGUAACGGGGCUAAACCAUGCACCGAAGCUGCGGCAGCGACACUAUGUGUUGUUGGGUAGGGGAGCGUUCUGUAAGCCUGCGAAGGUGUGCUGUGAGGCA
rnacentral:rRNA from 1 species